UACAGAGGGGGCAAGCGUUGUUCGGAAUUACUGGGCGUAAAGGGCGCGUAGGCGGCCUGCUAAGUCGAACGUGAAAUCCCCGGGCUCAACCCGGGAACUGCGUCCGAUACUGGUGGGCUUGAAUCCGGGAGAGGGAUGUGGAAUUCCAGGUGUAGCGGUGAAAUGCGUAGAUAUCUGGAGGAACACCGGUGGCGAAGGCGGCAUCCUGGACCGGUAUUGACGCUGAGGCGCGAAAGCUAGGGGAGCAAACGGGG
rnacentral:rRNA from 1 species